rnacentral:snoRNA from 1 species
AUGUAUGAAGAUAUGCACUGGGCUCUGAGCAGCAAACAUUGUUGCCUUAUGAUGGAGAUGCAUUUGCCUAGAAAGCAUUGUCUGAUGU